GCCACCUGUCAAGUGCAAAAAACUCUGCAUGAAUUUCAAAACUAACAUUAAAAAAACCCAAAAAAAUUCUAGCCCCAGAGAAGUCCUCCAGGUAAGUGCAUGGCUUACAGAGUUAAGCAUACAGCAUGCAACACUGUAAUACAGGCAUCAAAGAAAAGCUUUAACCUAUGCGUGUUCAGUGCUUUACACAAAAAAAACAAGGAAAUAUUUUUUUAAAUGAUACAGCCAUCAGAAAACAUACAAGGUGUAAUCAGAAUGCUUUAUCAAACUCCAUCCUCUGCUUCCAGAAAGGGAUUACUGUGCAGGUUCCAGGAAAUGCAGUACACUCAGCCUGAUCCUUUGUCAGAGAGGCACUGUUCUUUGCCUUAAGGACAUACACGCUUGCUUUGCCUUUUUUCUUUCUAAAAAAACUACUGCUCAGAACAUUAACAUGUUGGUUACACCACAGGGUCCUAAAGAGGAAUUAGUUCAUGAAAAUUUGUAAAGAUGAAUCAGAAAAGGACUAAGGAGGACACAAUGUUGAGUGGCUAAGGAAGUCAGUGUGAAAGCUGACACCCUUACCAAUUUGUCUUUGCCUUUUAAACAGAUUGUAUUAGCUACUGGUUAUCUCAGUAGCAAUUAUAAUUGCUAAUAAUAAGCAAAACCACAUGAAUAUGAUGGUGUAAGAUUAUCUGCUGGUUUAAGUCCUGUAUGUUGACAAAUUUAUGAACCAAUCUGCCUGCAAUAUUCUGGUUAUCACCUAUCAGCAGGCUUUUUUGGCUGUGAAACAAUGAAAGUGAUCUGGGCUGCACAACAAGCCUCACCAGUACAAAACAGCACUGUAGAAAAACCUGUUUCACUUCUAGAGAAGCAUGAGUGAUAUGAAGCCCCUGGAGACACUGACUGCUAGUCCACCAUUCACCUCAUCACUUACCAUAUGGGGGAUUCUUUAUUUGAAAUGCCACUACUUAAAAGGCAAACUGAACUACUGAUGACACACAGGAUACAUGAACUUGAGCCUGGGAUCUCAGUACAAAGCAUUCUGGCCCAGUUCACAGGCCAAUCUCAUUGCAUCAUGCAGUUCUUAUCAGAGCAGUCUAUGCACAGGUUGCCAGUACAUGACAGGAACUGGCUCAGCACUUGGGAGUUGAACAUCAAACAGACUUCUCUACCUGUCCCAGCUAGUUACUGUUCCUGCUCCAAAAUCCAAAAAUCUGUUUAUGCAAAGCCCUCCAAUGACUUAAUUAAUUCCAGCAGGCUACUUGAUGCCUUAGCUCCAUUGCAAAGUUUACAAUAUUUAACAUAAGGAGUCUAUUAAUGAGCUACUUGACUAUUAUAUACAUACAUAUAAACUCAUUACUUCUCUAAGGCAUGCAUAUCCUAUGCCUUUAAGCAACAUACUCUUUAACAAUAUAUUAAAGAUAAAUUAGGGCAUGCGGGCAGAAAGAAGGAAAAAGUGAAUUUUGAAACUGUUAGAGAAUGCUCUUAAUACUCUUGGAACCAUAGUAAAGAAACCUCAAUCUACCACUUCUGAGAAGAGUGAGGAGUUGUGGAGCUGAGUUUUUUUGAUUCACCCUGUCUGCAUGAAGCCUCACUUAGCAGCAGCCAACAAUGCUACUGAGGAAGGAAGAAGCUGUGUUUGCUGCUAGCAGGCCCCCUGCAGCUGGCAGGACUCACACACUUGGCUGCUCCAGGGAACUGCCCCCUCCUCAGACCUUCAGAGUCCAUCAGUGCAGCAGCACCAGAGGAGUGCUACUGAUGUGCAGAAGCAUCUGGAGUAUCACCACUCCCACUUCCCUUCCUGUCUGCAAUGGAGUUGCACAGCAUGAAGAAUUUUAACAGUACCAUAUUCAAAACAAGCAGCCUUGGAAGUCAAUACUAGUUUGUCCACAUGGGAAGAGAUGCACUAUUGCAAGCUUCUACACACAAGUGUGUUAUUAUGGAAAAAACUAUUAAACUUUUGAAGAAUCUGAGAAAUGAAAUGCCCCAAGUGUUGUCACACCAUGGAUCCCUUGCUUAGGAUGACAGUGGCCAUAGAACCAGACAGCAGCAAAAGGAACAAAAAGCAAAAGGUAUGGAGGGUAGAGAGAUUGAGGGAGACAAAAGAACAGAACUGAGUACAAAAGUCAUGGCAGUGUUUUUCUCCUAGUGAGGAACAUUACCUCAUCUGCAUAGUUUACCCUGAGAAGAUGUGGUUACCAGAAUUUCCAUGAAACACCACUUCUACUUAAAAAUAUUUAGUCAGAAAGACAUGAGUGAAACAAGUCAGUUCUUGUCAAGCACAAGUGAGGAAAGGUAAUACCAUAAAAAAAGGUAUUAAUGCCAACCACAGCUGUCAUUUUUUUUUGGUGUGGAUGCCUGCUGAGUUGUGUGCUAAGGUUCUCAACUACCUGGUGCAUAGUAAAUAAAAAUCCUGUUCUGGUGACUUGACGAGAAGGAAUGUGUUAACACAGCUUACAGUGGCCAUUAAAUAUAAUGUAUUUACAGUACUCAGAACAUUCAGCAGUCUCACUUUGGUCUGAAGAGUAACUGACCACCUGGAUACACAUUGAUUCUAUGUAUGAAACUUCUAAUUACAAAACAUACCUAUUAGCAGAUAGCUCUCUGACUGGUGAGCCUUUAAAGGGAAUCUUUUCUCCAGAACAUGAUCCAAACUAGCUGGCUGGCUACCACUUUUUUCUUUGUUUCUAGGGUAAACAAAAAUGAAAACAAAAACAUAUCAAUAUAUGCAGCACUUAAAAUACGUAUUUAAUUGCCAGAAUAUAUAAUAACCAGUGCAAGGAUCAUUAGCUUUCCACUCAGGCAGCUUAUGACAAUAAAAGGUACUUCAUUUAUUCAUAAACUGCUGUUGUAGUGGCUAUGUGUCACCCUGCAGCAUUUAUGAAGGUAUUUCCUUUCUAAUGGAACAUUUUAUUUGGACACUGAAAUUAAGAUCCAUUGUCACACACUUUGAGUUUUUAUUUCAGGAAUCAACUAUGGAAAAACAGACUUCUCUGGAGCAGCGGCAAGAUGUUAUUUUAAUCCUUUGUCUUACAUGGUCAGGAUUUGCCAAGUCACUGCAGAGUCUACAUUUGUUUUCACUUUGUUGAUUUGCUGAUCCUUUGCUAAAAAUCAGCAAACCGUCAUGCCUAGUAUUCCAUGUCAAAUCGGAGUGAAAACUCACAUCACCUCCACCAGGAGCUGACACACUUACUCCAUUUCCUUCCAUAAGGACAGCAAAAUUAAGGUACCUCAGAAGAUUUCCUCUGGGUAUGCUCUGCUCCGGGGAUUGCAUGCUGGAUAUACCAAGACUCAGCCUUUUUGCACUUUCUGUUUUUCCUCCAGGGGUGCUUGGCUCUUUCUGUUGGACUGGAGUUACACCAUAUUUUUCUUCUAGAUACCUGAGAGGCACAGUCCUGUU